GGGAACCACAUCGCCCGACCGUGCUCUUUAUUUUUCGGUGGAGCAGCUCUGCUUUCUCAGGUCUCUACUUACUUAUAUAAGAUGGCAUCAAGAAGAAGGACCUGACCACUGGCCCCUGACUACAUGGUCUUUGGAACCCGUGGCAUUGGAAGAUGUCAGAGACAUGGCACAUGGAUGUGAUCUUCAAAAACUGUUACAGCCUCAUCUCAUUGGAUUGGUCUACACAUCAAGGUGCUGGAAGUGUCGCAUGCCCAGAGAUGAUGUGGAAGCUCUAUACCCCUUUCCCUUCUGCCCACCUUGCCCUGUGCAUCUCUUCCUGAAUGGCUUCUCCUGAAUUGUAUCCUUUAUAAUAAACUGGUAAAUAGGAAAGAGAUAAUAUCUUCUACUUAAUCCUGGAUACUAUAUCUGAAGUCAGAGCAUCCACUCCAAAGCAGAGAAUUUCUGAAAAACAAAAUAAUGUCAUCAUAUGAUGUUAGAAUUUUUUUUCAAAUGAUGGUUCCUAAUACUUCACAUUAGAAGAACUCGAAUUUGAUGACCAGUUUGAGAAACACCAGUAUAUCCAGAUUACAAGAAAAAGCGAGUCAAAAGGAUGAUCAUGAAUAUAACAACUUCGAGGAAACAUUUAACCAAAGACCAAAGCUUUUUAAACAACUGAGAGUUUUUAUAAGAAAAAGACCUCAUACAGUAGUCCCCACUUAUUCAUGGGGGAUACAUUUCAAGACCCACAGAGAAGGCCUGAAAUCACUGAUGUACCAAACCCUAACCAGGUUCUUAGGAUGAGCUACUAAAUGACAAAUGGGUGGGUAGUACAUAGAGUGUAGAUACACCAGACAAAGAAAUGAUUCACAGCCCAGGCAGGACAGAGCAGAUCACACAAGAUUUCAUCACAGUACUCAGAAAACCACACCAUUUAAAAGUUAUGAAUUGUUUAUUUCUGGAAUUUUCCAUAUAAUAUUUUUGACCACAGUUUCCCAUGGAUAACUGAAACCAUGGGAAGUGGAACUGUGGAUAAGGCAGGACUACUGUAACUAUGACAUCAAUGGUAGGAACCUGAAGCAUAAUUCUGCUGUAGUGGAUUUUUUCAAAAGAAACUCAUGAAUGAAAAAUAAUUUAUUAGAUAUAAGAAAGGAUGCAUUUGUAUCUCAAACUUUACUUAUUCUGGAAAUAAAUGAAAAGCCAACACCUAUUACAUACCGACAAAAAUGAAAAAAUAAAUAAAUGUAAAGCCAUAGUUCAGUACUGAUGGAAUCUGAGAAAAUUUAUAUGACCGCGAACCCAUAUCUCUGUACUGAAUGUGGGAAAGGCUACACUUGUCUUGCAUCCCUGACCCAGCAUCAGAAAACACAUAUUGGAGAAAAACCUUAUGAAUGUAAAAUAUGUGUCAGGCCACUCUCCCAUAGGGCUGCUGCAGUUUGCUGGGGGUCCACUCCAGACUCUAAUCACCUAAAUCCCUCCUGCACAUGGAGGUAUCACCAAUGAAGCCUGAGAAACACCAAAGAUGGCAGUCUGCUCCUUCCUCAAGACUGUAUAUCUACCCAAUAGAAUACUAUAAAAUCACUGCAUGUCCACACAAGGAAUGCUGCACCAUCAAAGACUACACAAGGAACAAUUCUAUACAUUCUGAUAUAGAAAUUUCUCUUAAGACAUACCGUUAUAUAUAAAAAAUAAAUUGUAGAUCAAUACAUACAAUACAGUCCAAUUCACAUAAAAUAAACAAAACUGUGUGCAUAUACAUAUAUGUGAACUAAAAAAAUAUUGAGACAUAUAGACCAAAUUGUUAAUGAUAGUUAUAUUUGUGGAGGUGAAUAAAACUGGGGUUUAAGAAAGGAGUUAGGAUUGCUCCAUAUACAUCUGUUUGCUUGCAUUUUUAAGUAAAAUAUAUGUAUGUAUACCUUGUGUAAUUAACAAAGUAAACCAACAUAAAAAGAAAAAUCAUCAUGACCAGUAGAGGUUGUCUUUACAGUACAAUAAAUUUCUCUUUACAAAAAAUA
ensembl:lncRNA novel transcript